ncrna:unclassified sequences TwoGGAY RNA
UGAAGUUUAAUUGAGAUAUUUGUUAGACUUUUCCUUAAUACCACAGCUAUCCACAGACACGGAUGUCUGUGGAAGUUUGAUAUGGGACAAGGAUGUCCCGUAUCAAACGGUAGCGUACAUACCCACUACCUAUACGAAAAGUCUUAGAAAUAUCCGAUUAAAGCUUC